rnacentral:snRNA from 1 species
GUAAGAAGGGUGUGAUUUGCCUAUGACAUCUGUCUCCCCAUUGGUUGCCAGGGUUGAGUCAGCUGAUCUGGCUGACGAGAUGGGUGUCCCCCUCCCCCUUCAGCUCCCUGUGUGUCUCCCUCAAAACUGUGCUCUCAAAGAGGGCAGGACAAGGGUAUAGGCGCAGCUUCGCUCAUCUGCUGGAACAUCUAAAGAGAUUCUCAAGGUCAAACUCUAUACAGAAAUCCGCUGUACACCCACCACUGAUCUAAUUGGU